AUUGAACGCUGGCGGCAUGCCUUACACAUGCAAGUCGAACGGCAGCACGGAGCUUGCUCUGGUGGCGAGUGGCGAACGGGUGAGUAAUAUAUCGGAACCUACCCUAGAGUGGGGGAUAACGUACCGAAAGUUACGCUAAUACCGCAUACGAUCUAAGGAUGAAAGUGGGGGAUCGCAAGACCUCGUGCUCGUGGAGCGGCCGAUAUCUGAUUAGCUAGUUGGUAAGGUAAAAGCCUACCAAGGCAUCGAUCAGUAGCUGGUCUGAGAGGACGACCAGCCACACUGGAACUGAGACACGGUCCAGACUCCUACGGGAGGCAGCAGUGGGGAAUUUUGGACAAUGGGCGAAAGCCUGAUCCAGCCAUGCCGCGUGAGUGAAGAAGGCCUUCGGGUUGUAAAGCUCUUUUGUCAGGGAAGAAACGGUGAGAGCUAAUAUCUCUUGCUAAUGACGGUACCUGAAGAAUAAGCACCGGCUAACUACGUGCCAGCAGCCGCGGUAAUACGUAGGGUGCAAGCGUUAAUCCGAAUUACUGGGCGUAAAGCGUGCGCAAGCGGUUUUGUAAGUCUGAUGUGAAAUCCCCGGGCUCAACCUGGGAAUUGCAUUGCAGACUGCACUGCUAGAAUCUGGCAGAAGGGGGUAGAAUUCCACGUGUAGCAGUGAAAUGCGUAGAUAUGUGGAGCACCACCGAUGGCGACGGCAGCGCCCUGGGUCAAGAUUGACGCUCAUGCACGAAAGCGUGGGGACCAAACAGGAUUAGAUGCCGUGCUAGUCCACGCCGUAAACGAUGUCUACUAGUUGUCGGGUCUUAAUUGACUUGGUAACGCAGCUAACGCGUGAAGUAGACCGCGUGGGGAGUACGGUCGCAAGAUUAAAACUCAAAGGAAUUGACGCGGACCCGCACAAGCGGCGGAUGAUGUGGAUUAAUUCGAUGCAACGCGCAAAACCUUACCUACCCUUGCCAUGGCUGGAAUCCCCGAGAGAUCAGGGAGUGCUCGACAGAGAACCAGUACACAGGUGCUGCAUGGCAGUCGUCAGCUCGAGUCGUGAGAUGAUGUGGUUAAGUCCCGCAACGAGCGCAACCCUUGUCAUUAGCUGGUACGAAAGGGCACUCUAAUGAGACUGCCGGUGACAAACCGGAGGAAGGUGGGGAUGACGUCAAGUCCUCAUGGCCCUUAUGGGUAGGGCUUCACACGUCAUACAAUGGUACAUACAGAGCGCCGCCAACCCGCGAGGGGGAGCUAAUCGCAGAAAGUGUAUCGUAGUCCGGAUUGUAGUCUGCAACUCGACUGCAUGAAGUUGGAAUCGCUAGUAAUCGCGGGUCAGCAUGUCGCGGUGAAUACGUUCCCGGGUCU
rnacentral:rRNA from 1 species